rnacentral:rRNA from 1 species
GUAGGUGGCAAGCGUUGUCCGGUAUUAUUGGGCGUAAAGCGCGCGCAGGCGGUUCUUUAAGUCUGAUGUGAAAGCCCACGGCUCAACCGUGGAGGGUCAUUGGAAACUGGAGAACUUGAGUACAGAAGAGGAAAGCGGAAUUCCUCGUGUAGCGGUGAAAUGCGUAGAGAUGUGGAGGAACACCAGUGGCGAAGGCGGCUUUCUGGUCUGUAACUGACGCUGAGGCGCGAAAGCGUGGGGAGCAAACAGGGAUUAGAUACCCUGGUAGUCCACGCCGUAAACGAUGAGUGCUAAGUGUUAGGGGGUUUCCGCCCCCUUAGUGCUGCAGCUAACGCAUUAAGCACUCCGCCUGGGGAUACGGCCGCAAGGCUG